rnacentral:rRNA from 1 species
AUUGAACGCUGGCGGCAGGCCUAACACAUGCAAGUCGAGCGAGCGGCGGCCGGGUGAGUAAUGUAUGGGGACUGCCCGCUAGAGGGGGAUAACUACUGGAAACGGUGGCUAAUACCGCAUACUAUCGGAUAACCCAUAUGGGAUUAGCUAGUAGGGUGGGUAAAGGCUCACCUAGGCGACGAUGUCGAGCUGGUCUGAGAGGAUGAUCAGCCACACUGUGACGGAGACACGGCCCAGACUCCUACGGAGGCAGCAGUGGGGGAUAGUGCACAAUGGGCGCAAGCCUGAUGCAGCCAUGCCGCGUGUAUGAAGGAGGCCUUAGGGUUUUAAAGUACUUUCAGUGGGGAGGCGUUACCCGCAGAAGAAGCACCGGCUAACUCCGUGCCAGCAGCCGCGGUAAUAC